rnacentral:rRNA from 1 species
AUUGAACGCUGGCGGCAGGCCUAACACAUGCAAGUCGAACGAGUGGCGGACGGGUGAGUAAUGUAUCGGAACGUGCCCAGUAGCGGGGGAUAACUACUGGAAAGAGUGGCUAAUACCGCAUACUAUUGGAACAGCCCAUAUGGGAUUAGCUAGUAGGUGGGGUAAAGGCUCACCAAGGCGACGAUCCCUAGCUGGUCUGAGAGGACGACCAGCCACAUUGGGACUGAGACACGGCCCAGACUCCUACGGGAGGCAGCAGUGGGGAAUUUUGCAUAAUUGGCGAAUCCCUGAUCCAGCCAUGCCGCGUGUAUGAUGAAGGCCUUAGGGUUGUAAAGUACUUUGGGCGGGGAGGCGUUAUCCGCAGAAGAAGCACCGGCUAACUCCGUGCCAGCAGCCGCGGUAAUUC